UUUGGAAUUCAAUUCAGCAUCACUGGGCUUCAGAUAUUGCCUCUGACAACUUAUCAGCUCAGCUGUUUGCAGUCAGGACUGUGCUCCAGUUUCUUCUGAAGUCUCUUUAGUUGCAAUUCUCUUCCUCCUACCUUCAUUGUUCUCCAUGGCAACAUCAAAGUCCAUGAAGCAUCGGACUCUGUGAUGAGAGGGCUGGAGCAGAGUGCUGAGCCUAACUGGGUGGCUUUCAUCAGCCAUGUAAUUCCUAGCAUAAGACAAACUGGCAGAUGUGAACAUAAAUACGCCACCACCACCCCACCCCCUCCUGCCUCACCUCAGUGCCCUGAUGAGCUGUUAGAGAUUUUAAAUUACCAUUUCAGUAAGAUCCAAAAGAAAAGAAAAGAAGAAGAUGUAUUUGUUAACUUGGGAGCUUUGUUGACUUCAGCUCAUGCUCUUCCUAUUGUUAGCACCCUCAGGGGAUAGGGGAUCAAACUGGGGAGUCUAGCUCUGAAAAUUCUAGAGCAACACCUUCAGAUGUAGCCAGGAUGAAGAAACUGAGAUUGUGUAGCCCUUUCCAAGGCUCUGUUACUGGCUUCUGCCUUAUAAACGCAAUUUUACCCAUA
rnacentral:lncRNA from 1 species